GACGUAGGGGGCGAGCGUUGUCCGGAUUCACUGGGCGUAAAGGGCGCGUAGGCGGCUACGGAAGUCCGGCGUGAAAUGUCGCGGCUCAACUGCGAACCUGCGUCGGAUACUCCGUUGGCUUGAGGACGGUAGAGGCUAGUGGAACUAGCGGUGUAGCGGUGAAAUGCGCAGAUAUCGCUAGGAACGCCGGCGGCGAAGGCUGCUGGCUGGGCCGAUCCUGACGCUGAGGCGCGAAAGCUAGGGGAGCGAACCGG
rnacentral:misc_RNA from 1 species